GACGAACGCUGGCGGUGUGCCUAAUACAUGCAAGUCGAACGCUUCUUUCCUCCCGGGUUCUUGCACUCAAUUGCAAAUAGGAGUGGCGUACGGGUGAGUAACGCGUCUGUAACCUACCCAUCGGAGGGGGAUAACACUUUAAAACAGGAGCUAAUACCACCUAACAGUUUAUGCCGCAUGGCAUAAGAGUUAAAGGCACUUUCUGAGCCCGUGUCGGGUUGGACACUUGGUGCAUUAGCUAGUUGGUGAGGUAACGGCUCACCAAGGGCACGAUGCAUAGCCGACCUGAGAGGGUGAUCGGCCACACUGGGACUGAGACACGGCCCAGACUCCUACGGGAGGCAGCAGUAGGGAAUAUUCGGCAAUGGACGAAAGUCUGACCGAGCAACACCGCGUGAGUGAAGAAGGUUUUCGGAUCGUAAAACUCUGUUGUUAGAGAAGAACAAGAACAUUAGAAAAUGACCGUCCCCUGACGGUAUCUAACCAGAAAGCCACGGCUAACUACGUG
rnacentral:rRNA from 1 species